UACGGGGGGGGCAAGCGUUGUUCGGAAUUACUGGGCGUAAAGGGCGCGUAGGCGGCCUGCUAAGUCGGAUGUGAAAUCCCUCGGCUCAACCGAGGAACUGCAUCCGAUACUGGCGGGCUUGAAUCCGGGAGAGGGAUGUGGAAUUCCGGGUGUAGAGGUGAAAUUCGUAGAUAUUCGGAAGAACACCAGUGGCGAAGGCGACUCGCUGGACAAGUAUUGACGCUGAGGUGCGAAAGCGUGGGGAGCAAACAGG
rnacentral:rRNA from 1 species